UGCGUAGGCGGGCUAAUAAGUCAGUGGUGAAAUCUUCCGGCUCAACCGGGAAACUGCCAUUGAUACUGUUAAUCUUGAGUUCGGUUGAGGUAGGCGGAAUGUGUAAUGUAGCGGUGAAAUGCUUAGAUAUUACACAGAACACCAAUUGCGUAGGCAGCUUACUAGACCGACACUGACGCUGAGGCACGAAAGCGUGGGUAGCGAACAGGAUUAGAUACCCUGGUAGUCC
rnacentral:rRNA from 1 species